AAGAAAGAUAUUGAAGCCCUGGAGUAUGUCCAGAGAAGAGCAAUGAAGCUGUGAAAGGUGGUCAGGGAGACUAAGAAAAGUGAAAUCCUGUGCCAAGCCAUGGUGAGACUGCUGUCACAGGGAUGCAGGGAGACAACAACCCAGAUAGUGAAGAUGAAGCUUGAUACCAUCACCCUUUUAGCCCCCAAAAGUGACUUCUCCCAAAAAUCUGCUCAAAUUAUUCUCUACAAUGUAGUUUAAAUGGUGGGAGAUGUGCUGUGCAGCAAGAGUGCUCAAGGCACCCUGACAGCUAUAACAGAUGCAUGUUCACUGCCUUCAGCUGCAAAGACUUGUUAUUGGCCUUCUCCCAAAAGAACUCCAGGAUCCAGACCAAGAUCUUAGACUGGCUGUCAAAGGCAAUUCUAGAGUUUAACUUUGCUGGAAUGGAUGCCAAGCUGCUGGUAAAUAUCCUGAAGGUAGCUCUUGCUGCUGUAUAGCCCUUUGUGCAGAAACCAGCCAUCACUUUACGAGGGAUUAUUUACCUGUACGUGCAAGACUCACUCGCAGAGCUGAUGGAGAGUGAAAAGCUGCCCAUUCAUCCCCAGUAUAGAUGCUGAGCUGGAGAAAGUACAUGAGCAAAUCUCACUGGUUCCUAGUUUUGCCAGCCACAAGCCAGGACAUAAGACCCAGGAGGACCACAAGGAUCCCAGAAGGGUAGACGUCAAACAACUGGCCCAACAGCUAUCCAUCCUCUGUUCAGUUCCCUCAGACCUGCUUCCGUGUGUGCCUCACCUCUACUCCUGCCUGCAGGAUUACAACAUGGCCAUGUGCAUAGCCUUGCAGGCAGCCUUGCCCUUCUUAAUGCUCAUUAUCUUUGAAAAGAUGGCUGAAGUCACCACUGACUUGAAGGCUGCUACAAAGGGCCACAUACUUUUGACAAUGAGGAAUGCCAACACCAGUCUGUCAGUUCCAUCCACUGCCUCUGCUGACUGACUUCCCAGGCACCCUGCAGUCAACAGCACAGUUUCCCUCCUGUGGCAACCAGCUCUUCUUCACAAGCAUCAACUAAAGAGCCAGCACACAAAACCAGCAAACAGAAGCAGGGUUUGAAGGAACCCCAGUCAGGAGAAGAGAUGAAAGACAAGGGUGGAGCCAAGCUAAAAGCACAAAUGAGGAUUACUCUGAGCGAUGUUGGCAACAAACAGCAGCAAGCUGGUAGGCUUAAGAGUCUCUCCCCAGACUCUGCCUCCACUUGCAGAAGAGCACAAGAGCAAGCUGGUCUCCAGAAAACACAGUCCCAUUAAACAGAAGAAUAUUGUUCACAGUUAGAAACAAUCCCUGAACACCGUACCUUACCUACCUCCUCAAACACUGAUGACAUGUGUCAGAACAUCAAAUCCACUAUUAAUUCCCUCAUUCACUGCAUUAGCAAUAGUGAUCCUGACAGCAGCAUGCAGGCAGUGAAAGAAUUAGAUAAGAUCCUGAGUCAGAAGCACAAAGCAGAAGCCACAUCUGGACACAAGAAUGAGUUCCUCAUAGCCAGCUUCCAACCUCUCAAGCUUAUCCAACAGCAAAAGCAAAGUGAUGAAAAAAGGGGGAAGGCCAAAAUCAUCCUGUGAGGCAACUAUGUCAUCCAGGCCUUGAUGCUUCUCUUCUAGGAGAAGAGACUGGCUCAGGAGGCCUCCAUGGAGGUGCUGAAGGAUGUACUACACAACCUCCUUACCUCCUUCAGGCUAUGCUGCCUGUAGGGGAACUGAGGGGAAGAACAGAAGCAUCAGUGUCCUUGUGAGAAGGGUCCUGAUAAAAUCUGACAAGACAAGCAUCUUCUGUGCCUUGCUCAAGCUGCUCUAAGGCAGCCUGACUGCUGGCAGCAGCCCAGAUAAGCUUUCUUAAUGGUUGGCCGUAUGCCUCUGGAGGACCACACAUCUUCUCCCUGGCGCUAUCAGCAUCAUUAACCUGGACAAAAUCCUCCCGGAUGUCCACCCAGUCAUGAAUUCUAUCCCAAAGGAGAAACUGAGUCAGUGAACAAAUGAUAUCCCAGUGUAGGCCCUGAAAAACUCUACUCAGCACUUUGUGUAAGCUGAAAGGGCUUAGGGUUCUGAGCCACCUCACCCUGAUAGAGAAUGCUGCAAGCAACCUCUCCUUGCAGAGGUAUUUGAAACCAAGCCUGGCCAUCACCCAGACAGAGCAGGACACCAAAAAAUGUCUUCCUCCUCAACCUUUGGUAGGUCACAUCCACUGGGGCAAAAGCAUCUCCUGCUGGAUUAGUAGGAAUGCCAGGAGGGACAGCUGUGGGGAAGCCAGUUACAUCAUCUUGCCACCAGCAAAAAGCAUUUCUACACCAUCCCAUCACGGGGUACAAAGGCUGUCCUCCUCCCAUUGUUCUGGAGCUGCACAGCAGCAAGGUCCGCAGCAGCACCAAGAGCAACUGGUAGGAAGAGGAGCAGGAUCUGCAGCCAAGGUGAGCGUCUCAUCUGUGGCAUCAGAAAAAGCCAGGCCUCUUCCUCACACACAUCAACAGGCAGGUGGUGUGAAGCACUAACCAAUUAAUUAAAUAAAUAAAU
ensembl:lncRNA